rnacentral:rRNA from 1 species
AGAGUUUGAUCCUGGCUCAGAUUGAACGCUAGCGGGAUGCCUUACACAUGCAAGUCGAACGGCAGCACGGACUUCGGUCUGGUGGCGAGUGGCGAACGGGUGAGUAAUGUAUCGGAACGUGCCCAGUAGCGGGGGAUAACUACGCGAAAGCGUAGCUAAUACCGCAUACGCCCUACGGGGGAAAGCAGGGGAUCGUAAGACCUUGCACUAUUGGAGCGGCCGAUAUCGGAUUAGCUAGUUGGUGGGGUAACGGCUCACCAAGGCGACGAUCUGUAGCGGGUCUGAGAGGAUGAUCCGCCACACUGGGACUGAGACACGGCCCAGACUCCUACGGGAGGCAGCAGUGGGGAAUAUUGGACAAUGGGCGCAAGCCUGAUCCAGCCAUGCCGCGUGUGUGAAGAAGGCCUUAUGGUUGUAAAGCACUUUAAGCGAGGAGGAGGCUACUUUAGUUAAUACCUAGAGAUAGUGGACGUUACUCGCAGAAUAAGCACCGGCUAACUCUGUGCCAGCAGCCGCGGUAAUACAGAGGGUGCAAGCGUUAAUCGGAUUUACUGGGCGUAAAGCGCGCGUAGGCGGCUAAUUAAGUCAAAUGUGAAAUCCCCGAGCUUAACUUGGGAAUUGCAUUCGAUACUGGUUAGCUAGAGUGUGGGAGAGGAUGGGUAGAAUUCCAGGUGUAGCGGUGAAAUGCGUAGAGAUCUGGAGGAAUACCGAUGGCGAAGGCAGCCAUCUGGCCUAACACUGACGCUGAGGUGCGAAAGCAUGGGGAGCAAACAGGAUUAGAUACCCUGGUAGUCCACGCCCUAAACGAUGUCAACUAGCUGUUGGGGUCUUCGGACCUUGGUAGCGCAGCUAACGCGUGAAGUUGACCGCCUGGGGAGUACGGUCGCAAGAUUAAAACUCAAAGGAAUUGACGGGGACCCGCACAAGCGGUGGAUGAUGUGGAUUAAUUCGAUGCAACGCGAAAAACCUUACCUACCCUUGACAUGUCUGGAAUCCUGAAGAGAUUUAGGAGUGCUCGCAAGAGAACCGGAACACAGGUGCUGCAUGGCUGUCGUCAGCUCGUGUCGUGAGAUGUUGGGUUAAGUCCCGCAACGAGCGCAACCCUUGCCAUUAGUUGCUACGAAAGGGCACUCUAAUGAGACUGCCGGUGACACACCGGAGGAAGGUGGGGAUGACGUCAAGUCCUCAUGGCCCUUAUGGGUAGGGCUUCACACGUCAUACAAUGGUCGGGACAGAGGGUCGCCAACCCGCGAGGGGGAGCCAAUCCCAGAAACCCGAUCGUAGUCCGGAUCGCAGUCUGCAACUCGACUGCGUGAAGUCGGAAUCGCUAGUAAUCGCGGAUCAGCAUGUCGCGGUGAAUACGUUCCCGGGUCUUGUACACACCGCCCGUCACACCAUGGGAGUGGGUUUUACCAGAAGUAGUUAGCCUAACCGCAAGGAGGGCGAUUACCACGGUAGGAUU